rfam:Salmo salar isolate Sally breed double haploid chromosome ssa17, whole genome shotgun sequence.
UGCAUUCACUACUGUAAGUUGCUCUGGACAAGAGUGUCUGCGAAAUGACAAAAA